ACCCUUCAGUCGUGUCCCAUCGUGUGCAUCAAUGAGCCGGACACACACAGUGCCAACACAGAGAUAUUGCAGACAAGUCCGGAGAGCACGCUAGAGAAGCCCAAGGCGGCGCCAUCCGGUGGAGCCAGCACGAGUGUGACUAGCUUGAACGGCAGUUGCAUUGCCAUCAAUGGAGGAAUAGGAGAAGGCGCCACUGCAACUGCAUCGGCAGCUACCAGCACUGCGGCUGGAGUGACCAAGAUAACGAUAACCAGUGACAACGGCAACGCCAGCACCAGCACCAAAGCGAACACAGGCAGUUCCAUCGACGGCUACAAGAACAGCAGCUUGGUGUCCAUCACCAGCCUAAACAGCUGCAGCGACCUCAGCCAGGGCAGCACCGCCACCCUGCCCAUCAGCAGCACCAACUGCAGCGGCAACAACGUCAGCAGGCAUCCUCUCAGCAACAGUGGCAACAGCGGCAGCGACACCUCGUCCAACAACUUCCAGGAGCGGUUCGACUUUGAACACUGGAAGGGCUUACUCAGCGACUACAACUGCUUUCACGGGCUGUAUCGCUACUGGACUCAGUGCAGCGGACGCAGCAGCAGUGCCAACGACAACGGCAGGGACAGUGAUCAGCAGCAGUCGCAGUCCAACCAUGAGAACGGCCUGGGCAGCGGAGCCGGUUCCUUCUACACCCACAAUAUACUAGGCUACACCUUCGGCUAUCCGUUUGGCCUGAAGGAGGACCUCGACGGCAGCGGCAACUGCAACAGCAACUGCAGCGGCAGCACCAACGGUCUUGGCCUCAGGAAGUGGCUUUCAGGCAAUACCAGCAGCAACGAGACGCCGCUCCAGAAGCACUACAGACACCAGCAGAAGAAGAAGAUGCCCGGCUUCAGGGGCAGAAGGGUGUGGUGCGGUUGCUUCAAGGACGAUGAGCCACCCGAGAUUUGUGUGGUGGAAGGCGCGUUUACCCUGCAGACGCUCACGCCCACCCAACCCAUGCCGUCAGUGGAUGAGCUGGACACCAAGUUCGCGGAGCUGGUGGAGGAGCUCGAUCUGACGGCCCCCAACAAGGAGGCGAUGCUCAGCCUGCCCGCGCAGAAGAAAUGGCAAAUCUACUGCUCGAGAAAGCUGCCCUUGGAUGCGGCCGAUGGACCAGAUGCAGCGGCCAUCACCCAGCCACCCACCGCAGAGCACUACAUUGAGCGACUGAAGGAGCUGGUGGUGCACAUAUCGCUCUCGCCGGAGGACUCGCCCAGCCAUGAGCUGGGCAAUCGCUUGGAUGGCCAUGCCGCCUUUGUGGACGCCCUGAAGACGGCGCUACGCACAUCCACCCACAGUUUCGUUCUCCGAUUCGUGGAGCUGGACGGGCUUCCUGCUCUGCUCGACCUCCUGCUGCAGCUGGACAUUCGAGUGGCUAACAGCCCCCUGCACACCAGUCUCAUUGGGUGCAUCAAGGCACUGAUGAACAACUCGAUGGGUCGGGCGCACGUGCUAGCCCAUCCAACGGCCAUCGACACCAUAGCCAGAUCCCUAGCAGCGGACAACAUUCGCACGAAAAUCGCCGCCCUGGAGAUUCUGGGUGCCGUGUGUCUGGUGCCCGGCGGUCAUCGCAAGGUGCUGCAGGCCAUGCUCCACUUCCAGGUCUUCGCUACGGAACGCACUCGUUUCCAGAGCAUUGUCAACGACCUGGAUCGCUCGACCUAUGCGUACAGGGACAAUGUCAAUCUGAAGACCGCCCUUAUGUCAUUCGUGAAUGCGGUGCUCAACUACGGACCCGGCCAGGAGAACCUCGAGUUCCGACUGCACUUGAGGUACGAGUUUCUCAUGCUCGGUAUACAGCCUGUGAUCGACAAGCUGCGCACGCACGAGAACGAAACGCUGGACAGGCAUUUGGACUUCUUUGAGAUGGUUCGGGCUGAGGAUGAGAAGGAGUUUGCCCGCCGUUUUAAGGAGGACCACGUGGACACCAAGAGCGCCGGCUCAAUGUUUGAGCUGCUGCGCCGCAAGCUCAGUCAUUCGCCCGCGUAUCCCCACAUGCUCUCCCUUCUGCAGCACAUGCUUCUGCUACCCUAUACGGGUCACUGCACGGAACACUGGUUGCUGAUUGAUCGCGUGGUACAGCAGAUAGUGCUGCAGGUGGAACAGCGGCCAAACAGUGAUCUUAUCGUCGACCCCGAUGACCCUGAAAAGCAACUGAAGCUGGCCGCCGAGUCGCCAGUCCAUGAUCCUGAUGUGGCGCCCUUGCAGAUCGACGUGGCUAAGCUGGUGCGUCUGCUGGUCAAGGAGGAACAGCUGACGCAAGCGCGAAAGCGGGCUGACGAGCUGGAGCGUGAGAACUUUGACGUGCAGUCGCGGCUGGCCAAGAAGGAGCAGGAACUCGACCUCCGCAUGCAAGAGAAAGAGGACUUGGAGACGGGACUAGCGCGCAUGCGCGAGCGUUUGGAGAAGGAGUCCGCGCAGCACUCGCAGGCGGUGCAGCGGGCGCAGACUGCAGAGAUGCGAGCAGAAGACCUGCAGCACCGCUUGAUCAGCGAGCAGCAGGAACGGGCUCGCUUGGAGAGACUGGUUACCGAGGGCAGCAUCCCAGACGACCAGAAGGUGGCCGGCCUCACGGGCUGCAAUGGUGCCGUCUCGCCUCCACCGGCACCUCCCAUGCUCAAGGCCAUUCCGCCACCUCCGCCACCCAUGGCGCCGUCCAUGAUGCCCCCACCACCACCUCCUUGCCCGGGAGCUCCUCCACCUCCGCCAAGCAUGGCACAAACGAUGGCUCCAGCGCCACCAAAAGUGGAUCUGCCCAAGAAGAAUGUGCCACAGCCGACGAAUCCCCUGAAGAGCUUCAACUGGUCGAAACUGCCGGACGCCAAGCUACAGGGCACCGUUUGGAGCGAGCUCGACGAAAGCAAGCUGUACAACAACAUGGAGCUGGAGUCAAUUGAUAAACUGUUCUCGGCUUACCAAAAGAACGGGGUAUCGGCCACUGAUGGAUCCUAUGAGGACUUAAGGGUAACUGGCAAGGCUGCCAAGCAGAAAGUGCUGUCGGUGAUCGACGGACGCCGGGCGCAGAACUGCACCAUCCUGCUGAGCAAACUGAAGAUGAGCGACAUGGAGAUAUCAAAGGCCAUUCUCUCCAUGGACAGCAACGAGCAGCUGCAGCUGGACAUGGUCGAGCAGCUGCUCAAGUUCACGCCCUCGGCGGAAGAGCGAGCUUUGCUGGACGAGCACAGCGAGGACAUUGAGUCUCUCGCUCGGGCCGAUCGAUUCCUCUAUGAGAUAUCCAAGAUUCCACACUACGAGCAGCGCCUGAAGAGUCUGCACUACAAGAAGCGUUUCAUGCUGACCAUCAACGACCUGGUCCCCCGCAUAACCAGUGUGAUGGAGGCCUCUCGUGAGGUGGCUCGUUCCCGUCGCCUGCGCAAGCUUCUAGAGUUGGUCCUCGCCCUAGGCAACUACAUGAACCGCGGGGCACGUGGCAACGCGUCGGGAUUCCGACUGGCGUCGCUCAACCGGCUGGCGGACACCAAGUCCAGUGCCGCCAAGGGCACCACCCUGCUACACUACCUCGUGCAGGUGAUUGAACGCAAGUUCAAGGACCUUCUUAAGUUGGAGGACGAUAUCCCCCAUGUGCGUGAAGCCUCCAAGGUGUCGCUGGGCGAGAUGGACAAGGACAUUCAGAUGCUGCGCACGGGUCUGGCAGACGUGGCGCGCGAAAUCGAGUUCCACCGCAGUUCAGGCCCGGCCCAACAGGGUGAUCGCUUUCUACCCGUGAUGCGCGAGUUCCACGCGCAGGCGUCAGUGCGCUUCGCCGAGCUUGAGGACAAGUUCCAGGACAUGAAGACGCGCUUUGAUCGUGCGGUACGCCUCUUCGGCGAGGAUGGUUCGGUUUUGCAGCCGGACGAGUUCUUUGGCAUCUUUGACUCCUUCCUGGCCGCCUUCGCGGAGGCGCGGCAUGACAACGAGAGCUUCCGUCGGCGACAGGAGGAAGAGGAGAAGCGCGCCAAGCAGGAGGCGGAGCUCAAGAAGCGCACAAUAGAGCGCAAGAACAAGACCGGCCUAAUGACCAGCGUGGCUCGCAAUCUGGGCCUCAAGUCGGGCUCAUCCAAUGGGGAUCCUGACUCCCCGGCAAAGGGAGGCGUAGGCGACAACAAGGGCGAGUUCGACGACCUAAUCUCGGCCCUGAGGACCGGAGACGUGUUCGGCGAGGACAUGGCCAAGUUCAAGCGGUCGCGCAAGGCGCGCGUGCUUAACGGCGGCGGGUCCUCCACUGGGCACACCUCGCCGCCCCGCCACGCCAGCCUCCAGAGGGAGGAGAGUGGGCGGGAGCGCGAGCGGACCGUGAGGCGCCAGUAAAAACGGGGUGGAGAUACCGAUCAACCGGACCUGGCCGCGGUGUAAAUGUUUCCAGAUGGCGCGAAAGUAUUUUUUUUCUUACAUAGUAAAGACACUACCUUCUUUUGUAAUUAUUUAUCUACUACCCGUACGCAUACACUACGAUUUAUGUAUACCUACAUACUUAUAUAGCACAUAGUCUAAACGUAAAGCUCGGCUAAUGCAAGCGUGAAACCAAAUUAUUUACAAAAUCGAAACGUAAUUGUAAUUUAAAGUCUAAAAAUGUUAUGAACGAAUCGAAAUCGAAUCGCCGCGAAGCGAACACGGAUCGUAAUGUGUAGUGUACCUUGAAAAUUGUUUUUGGCAACCAACCAUAUGGCAUAAAUGCUUCUAUAUCUACACAUACAUACAUAUAUCAAGCCGAUUUCACGGUGCUCACGCAUCCUUAUCGUAGCGCAAUCGAGCAAGCACAGCAGCAUAAUCACCGCACAUGGAAUCGCCGAAGUGCUCGAAGAGGAGCUCGCCGGCCUGCCAUACAGUCAUGUUCAAAAUUAAGAUAUUUUAAGGCGCUUUAGGAGUUUGCACAGACCACGCCCCUUUUGCGGAAAAAGCUAUCUAUUGCAAAUUACACCCUAACUAUUAACAAAUUAUAAUAAACAUUUAUUGUGAAUGAAAUUAACGAA